rnacentral:rRNA from 1 species
UACGUAGGGUGCAGGCGUUAAUCGGAAUUACUGGGCGUAAAGCGUGCGCAGGCGGUUUGCUAAGAGAGAUGUGAAAUCCCCGGGCUUAACCUGGGAACUGCGUUUCUAACUGGCAGGCUUGAGUGUGGCAGAGGGGGGUGGAAUUCCACGUGUAGCAGUGAAAUGCGUAGAGAUGCGGAGGAACACCGAUGGCGAAGGCAGCCCCCUGGGCUAACACUGACGCUCAGGCACGAAAGCGUGGGGAGCAAACAGG